AGUGAACGCUGGCGGUAGGCCUAACACAUGCAAGUCGAACGACAGCACAGUAAGAGCUUGCUCUUACGGGUGGCGAGUGGCGGACGGGUGAGGAAUACAUCGGAAUCUACUUUUUCGUGGGGGAUAACGUAGGGAAACUUACGCUAAUACCGCAUACGACCUACGGGUGAAAGCAGGGGAUCUUCGGACCUUGCGCGAUUGAAUGAGCCGAUGUCGGAUUAGCUAGUUGGCGGGGUAAAGGCCCACCAAGGCGACGAUCCGUAGCUGGUCUGAGAGGAUGAUCAGCCACACUGGAACUGAGACACGGUCCAGACUCCUACGGGAGGCAGCAGUGGGGAAUAUUGGACAAUGGGCGCAAGCCUGAUCCAGCCAUACCGCGUGGGUGAAGAAGGCCUUCGGGUUGUAAAGCCCUUUUGUUGGGAAAGAAAAGCAGCAGGUUAAUACCCCGCUGUUCCGACGGUACCCAAAGAAUAAGCACCGGCUAACUUCGUG
rnacentral:rRNA from 1 species